rnacentral:rRNA from 1 species
AGUGAACGCUGGCGGUAGGCCUAACACAUGCAAGUCGAACGGCAGCACAGGAGAGCUUGCUCUCUGGGUGGCGAGUGGCGGACGGGUGAGGAAUACAUCGGAAUCUACUCUGUCGUGGGGGAUAACGUAGGGAAACUUACGCUAAUACCGCAUACGACCUACGGGUGAAAGCAGGGGAUCUUCGGACCUUGCGCGAUUGAAUGAGCCGAUGUCGGGUUAGCUAGUUGGCGGGGUAAAGGCCCACCAAGGCGACGAUCCGUAGCUGGUCUGAGAGGAUGAUCAGCCAAGCUGGAACUGAGACACGGUCCAGACUCCUACGGGAGGCAGCAGUGGGGAAUAUUGGACAAUGGGCGCAAGCCUGAUCCAGCCAUACCUCGUGGGUGAAGAAGGCCUUCGGGUUGUAAAGCCCUUUUGUUGGGAAAGAAAUCCAGCUGGCUAAUACCCGGUUGGGAUGACGGUACCCAAAGAAUAAGCACCGGCUAACUUCGUGCCAGCAGCCGCGGUAA